UCAGCAUUUCUUUCUGACUGACUAUAUUUAUUACACAUUUGUACACAUAACUCACACUGCUUAGUUCAUCUCUGGCAAUAAGAAACAUAUUUCUGUGAAUUUAGGUGAAUAAAGCUGUAUUUGCCUUGUUAGUCAUCAGAAGUGUGGUUCUUUCCAUGCAUUAUCUGAAUUUCUGGGCAUUUUUUCCCUUCAUUUACUCAAAAUAUGAUUUCAACACUAAUGAAUACUGAAAGACAGCCAAGACAGGAUGAACUUUUGGACAAUUUAUGCAAACACGACAGAUGAGAAUAGAUUUACUAUAAACAUGUCAGGCACAAAAGACUUGACUGCUUUUUAAAUACAGUGAUACUGGAAGAGAUUUAUGGAUAUUUUCAACUGUUCAUUAAAGAGAAAAAAUAUUUUGAAACUAUAGGCACUCUCCUUUUAUCCAUUUUUGCCUUCCAGGCUGAGUUGCAAACCUUUGAUGUUUUCUUCACCAAAAAAUAAAAGUAGUUAUGAAUUUAUUUCUCCCAAGCACUUUCAUUUUUGUGUCAAUUUACAGUUUUUAUUACAUUCCUGGCAGUCCAAAUUAUUGUGUUUGGAGAGAAGCUAGAGUCCACAGCUUUGAGUUUUCUGAAAAUAGGGAUGAAGUUCACUUAAUGAUGCUUUCUGGCCACUGCCUUUUUCCUUUUCCUUUAGUAAUAAAAGGUUAAUAAAAUCUAUGAAUACUUUAACUGCCUGCUAGAGCAACCAACCAAUUAAAGGUUAUUCUAAUCUAAAUGACUGGAAGCCACUUGAAUUGAAAAAGUUAACAUGCAAUGGCUAGUACCUGCUGGAUCAGAUUAAUAAAAUGGAAAGUCUUAGACAUGAAAACCAUACAUAAAUGUAGUCCCUAUAGUUGACUGAGGUAUCAGUUCUUACUACUGGACAGGCAUAUGCUUAACUGCGUCUAUUCAGAAUCUGCUUCUGUGCCUUUGUAAAUCAAUAGUAAGCCUUGCUUUCAACUUCAGUGCAACUGAGGUUGCUGUCACUCAAUGAUUUUAAAAGCUGGGAUCGAGCUAACGGAAUGAUGGGAUUCUUUCUUUCUAAAAUCACGUUAAACUCGUAGAAGUAGUAAGGAAUUUGCACUUGUAUUGCUUCUGAAAAACAUUGUGUUUAGCCAAAUCUCCUGUGAAGUCAAAACACUGCACCAAAAUGAUAUCAGUAAGGAUUGUGCAGUGCGUGAAGAUCUAACUCUGCAUAUUCACAAUGCUGACUAUGCUCCUGCUUUUUGAGAAGAUGGAGAAAGAAGAGAUUUGGACGGAAAAUAACACAGUUUUUAUUGCAGCUUUAGAAGGAUAUCUGCAAUCUUUUGGCAGCAUGAUUUGAGCAUUCUGAGACCCUCCAAAAUAAGGCACAAAGCUUUAUAAAGAUUUCAUUUGGAGAGAUUACAAAAACAAAACAAAACAAACAAACAAACAAAAACGAAUAGCUGACAAUAUUUUAACAUUUUUUACUGGACUUGCCUUUCCAGCCUUUUAAAAUUAAUUGAAGAGCAACACGCAUUUAUAAAUAACAUAAUGCAGUUGGGGAUAAUGCAAAUGUCUUUAUAAAUAACACAGUAUAGCUUAAAUCAUUAUUUUUAAUGCUUCUAUUUUUUGUUCCUAUAUGAACAGGUCUGUGCUGGUCUGCAUUAAUUAAAUUUAAGUAGGAUUUCUAAGGCCAGAUCAUCAUUACUUCUGUGGCCCUGAUUUAAAUCUGCAGUAAAACAUUUCUCCAUUUAGUCUGGUGCUUUUGUGUCAUAUUUCAUACACUAGUUGUCUCUUAAUUAAAUCCAUGAUGGCCCACCAACACAGACUAUUAAAAUAACUAUACUUUGCACUUGACAUAUUUAUGAGACAGAUUCAUAAGAGUAUAGACUGCUACUUGAACUACUCACUGAGAAAUGCUAAUAAGAUUAUGAUGAAGGCUCUUUGAUGUUGUUGUACAUACCAACAGUUCUUUCUGUGUGGAUUUAUUGUGGCAAUGAAGAGUGGGAAACUGUUAAUUUAUAUCACACCAGGAAAGUGCAUAAGUAUUGUGUUCCUUGAAGUAUGAAUGUUUGCAGAUGUCUGUAAAACCUUUGCAUGGGAUUGACAUGUUCAAGGUAUUGCGUGUAAAGGAAUUAGUCUAGCUCUGAAAUUGGGUGGGGGUAAAAUACUGAUUAUCAUGAAGAACCACAUUACUUUACCUUUAUUGCCUUGCUCCUCUAACCAUCCUGUUGAUGUAGGGCAGGCUGGGUCUGCUCCUGCAGUGGAAGGAGGUAGCAGUGCUGGGCCUGGGAUCGUUUGCUGCAUGUUGUCAUGCCAGGCUGCAUGUUGCCUAUCUCCCAGGUGUAGCGCAGGAUAUUUGCAUGUUAUGGGAUAGAUAGUUUGCAUUGUGCCUUGUGACUGUCACUGCAGUGUUUGAAAUUGUGUGGAUAUAUGGCCUCAGCUAUUAAGAAAGACAGCAAAGCAAGCAAAUCCAUUAGUCCUAUGACUUGAAGGGUUGUUUGACAACGGUAUUAAGAUUUGAUUUUUUUAUUUAUUUAUUUUUUAUUUUAUUUUAUUUUAUAUUAUUUUAUUUUAUUUUUUGUGCAUGGAUACCUUGAAAUGCCAUUUCUUUUAGCAUCAUUUAUUGACAAAGUUGCUGAUAUCAUUUGAUUUUUUUUUGAAUAAUUCGAAACUGGAGUGUUCAAGGAUCUCCAUAUUUGAGAGAGAUGGCAAUAGAAGUGAUAAAGCUGCUAAGUGGAUGAUCUAAAGUCAUCAGCGAUUUCUGCCACUUUCCAGGACCAACAUACACCUCCUACAGACGUUUUCCCUGUCUCCCUUUUUUGUAGUUAUAUCCUUUCAUGGAAGGGCGCCUGUACAUCACUGGAUCCAAGUGUGGGUACAACUGUAGAUGACUCUAAAUAAAUGGAGCUUGAAGGGUCAAUAUGAAUGGCAUAUAAAUGUGUUUCUGAGCUCCCUCUCUCCUGAUGGACCCACGACACAGAUCCCUGAAUUCCUGCAGCUGUAGCUGUCCUGGAGGCUGGCUCAGGCAAAGAAGGAGUUUCUUUUCUGGAAAGGUUACACAUUCUUCUGUGCUUCAGAGAGAAGAAGAUGCAAUAAAGGCAUGACUUACAACAGCAUGGAUACAAGACCAACUGUUUUAGUCACAGUUACCUGAAAAAGGUCAUCCCAGUAAAAGAUUAUAACACUGCCACAGGGUUGUGGUCAGGAUCUGCACACCACUGAGUUACAGAGAUGAGCACAAAGGAGUGAGCUAAGGAUGCUGAGUGAAGUUCCUAUCUCUGUUUCCCAGCCUGAAGUAUUUUUUUAAAGGCUCUGUAUUUAUUUGUUAAUAAAUAUUUAGAAGUCAAUCAUUCUUCCCAUCAUUAUGUGACAUGAGAAACAUUUUUUAUUAAAAAUAAAGAGAGACGCUGUGGGGUUUGACACAUUAUUUUUUCUCCUUAUGCUCAGGGAAACUCUUCAGCCUCAGAGAAAAGGUCCUUGACCCUGGUCUCAAAUACUGUCCAGUGCUUAUGGGAUGUGAUAUGAAAAUCAUCAAAACUGUCCUUGGCAGGAUGUUUCGUUCCAUUAGUUGAUUAAAAUGGUUUAUUGUUGCCUGCAGCACCAUUGCUUUAUAUGUAUGUUUUUACAAAGACCAGAUGUGCCCAUGUCCUGCACUGUUUCCCUUUGUGUGUUUUUUUGAUAAAUACAGCGGUGAAGUCACCGCCUGGCAGAUCCCUCAGUGAAGUUUCAGAGAGGGAAAGCAGGAAAGGUGAGGGGCUACUGGUGGGGCCAGGGCACUUGCAGCAUGAGGAGCAGCACUGGGGCUGCGCAACAGCACAGAGAUGGCUCCACAGAAAGUGGGAGGAAGAACAAGGAAACCUGCAAGCAGUAAGUGCCCAGAGGAAAAAAUAAAUAAUAAUAAUAAAAAAUAAAAAUCUGGAACUAUCUGCCUGCCAAUGCUGUAUAAACUAGGCUCUGACAAUAGCAAGAAGUGGGCUUCAACAUUUUUUCAGGUUGACAACUCUAACGUUUCAGCUGGAAUAUAGAAGUGAGGAGUAGCUGAUCCUAAAAUACUAGACCAAAUUACAUCAGAGUGAAAUCUUACCUCUCCUUCUGCUAUUACAGAGAAAACUGGAAAAGUCCACGUCUUCAAGAUGAAUCUGAUAUUUGUUUUCUUGUUCCAUCAAUGCUUGAUGUGGGAGUUGGAAUCUCAGUACAAAUGAUAUUUACAAGUCUAGGGGUCAUUUCAAGUACCUCUCCAUCUCCCUAGCACAGUUUUUUAUUAUUAUUAUUAUUAUUUAUUUAUUUUUAAGGCAUGUUGACAUGUAAUGAUAACAGGGUCUUUCAUUACAAAAUCAUAAAUUAUUGAGCCUCUAAUCUUAUGUUCAAUACAUAUUUAUUUGAUAAUCAUAGGUUAAUUAAUUUCUGUUGUUUCUAUACAUGUUUAUACUAUACAAUUAGAGAAAAACACAGAUUCACGAGUAAAUGUUGCUCAUACAAAAUGUUUCUAUUACCCUUUACUUUUAAAACCAUUAAUAGAUUAUUAGGAGUUAUAAACAUAGGAGACCAUGGAUCAUAUUUGCAUGUUAAUGAAAUCAAUGAAUUAUACAUUAUUUGUUAUAGAGAGUACUAGAAACAGUAUUCCUCCUUUUUAAUAGCUAUAAAAGCUGACGGUUUUCUGGAGCACACAUCACAUCCCCUCCGCAAUACCUUCUAAUAGAAAGAAAGCAAGCCAGCUCUUCAAAGCAAUCUCUCACUAAAUGAAAUAGAUUUGUUUGUGUUGCUUUGCAACACACAAGUGUGACAGUUCAUUUUAAACAAAAUAGUUUUAAUAAUGUCAUUACUAAUAUCUAUUUGGUCAUCUCUCUGAAAAAUGGCGUUUUAAUAGGAAUGUUUCAUUUUAAUAAAUGGCAGAAGAGGCAAGCUUCCCUGAGUCAGCAGGAAGUGGAUAUACACCAGAGAACAGCCUGAUUGUGUUAGAUUCAUCCAGAACAUUGAACAGCACACAGACAGUCCAAGAAAAAGCAACUGGCUUUAUUCAAAUGAUUAGUCUUACUGCUACACUGUAGCGCAGAUUCACACAUUCUUCUAUUAUUCCUUGACCUUGUGCCAAAAACUCCCACUUGAAGUAAUAAUUAGAAUUAGUGUUUCCAGUGCAUGCUUCCAUCUUCCUAACAAACAGUAAUGAAAUGUGGCUUUUACAAAAUAUGCAGUUAAUUAAACUUUUUUAAAACAUUGGUUGAUUAAUACAGUUCCUCUGUGCUAUCCCCUCGUUAUGCCCAACUAUUUCUACCUGCUAUUGGUGAAUAGGAAGCAAAGCACUGUCAAUAAGAUGAAUGAUAUUUCAGAAAUCCGCAUGUUAAAAUUGCUUCUAUAUUAUUAUUAUUAGUUUUCUUUCUCAUUUUAUCUCUGUCUUGGAAUGAACUGGAAAGAUAGCCAUUAUUUGUAAUCAUAGGUUUUUAAGUCUAGGACAGUAUGUGUAUGAUAUCACUACUCUACAAAUACCCUCAGCAUGAAUAUGAAGACCACAUAUAUCAAGUGCUACAAGGUAAUAAGAGGAUUUCUAGGCGAGAUGUUUAAAAAGGUGGCUCAGCACUGUAUUGCUUAAUAACUCUAUGCAAAUAGAAAUUUUGAUUUCAUUUUUUUUAAUAUUAUUUCAUGCUUUUUUACUGUCUGCCUUAAUUAUCCCAAUGCUGAACAAGUAUAGUCUUUUGAUUGAUGAGAGUUCCACCCCUUUACCCACACCCCUGCAGAUACGAGGCUCCACAGUUUAGUACCAUAAAUCACUGUGAUUGUAUAACUUAACUACUGUAUGAUCAGAGAUCACAUACAGUGUUAGCCUGAAUACGCAUUCAUCCUUUGUUAUGAAUGUUUUAGGACUAAAUUUAUUCUGGCAGUUUGGAGAAAUAUAAGUUUCUUCAUGUAAGAAAGCAAUGCAUUUUAAAUAAGCAAUUCUUUCAACAACUGGAAAUCAUCACAAAAGUCUUCUAUUUGCAAUCUUCAUUAAUGUGAGUUAUUUCAUCACUUUAGAGAAAACCUUUCAGAGAAAAACAACAAUUAAACCCCUCCCCCAGACAGGCUUGACAGAUAAGAAUCUAUGGAUCAGCCAUUUUAGUAAUU